rnacentral:rRNA from 1 species
CCCUUAGAUGUCCUGGGCUGCACGCGCGCUACACUGAUGCGCUCAACGAGUUUACGAUCUUGCCUGAAAUGGCUGGGUAAUCUUUUGAAAGUGCAUCGUGAUUGGGAUAGAUGAUUGCAAUUCUUCAUCUUCAACGAGGAAUGCCUAGUAAACGCAAGUCAUCAGCUUGCAUUGAUUACGUCCCUGCCCUUUGUACACACCGCCCGUCGCUCCUACCGAUUGAAUGAUCCGAUGAAUACCAUGGAUUGAGAGUACGAAUAGGUUCGCUUAUUUCUGCUGCUCGAGAAGUGGAGUAAAUCUUAUCAUUUAGAGGAAGGAGAAGUCGUAACA